rnacentral:rRNA from 1 species
AGCGUGGAGACAGGUGGUGCAUGGCUGUCGUCAGCUCGUGUCGUGAGAUGUUGGGUUAAGUCCCGCAACGAGCGCAACCCUCACCCUUUGUUGCCAUCAGGUUAUGCUGGGCACUCUAAGGGAACUGCCUCGGUUAACGAGGAGGAAGGUGGGGAUGACGUCAAGUCAUCAUGCCCCUUACGCUCUGGGCUACACACGUGCUACAAUGGCCAAUACAAAGGGCUGCAAACCCGCGAGGGCAAGCCAAUCCCAAAAAAUUGGUCUCAGUUCAGAUUGUAGGCUGCAACCCGCCUGCAUGAAGGAGGAAUCGCUAGUAAUCGUGGAUCAGCAUGCCACGGUGAAUACGUUCCCGGGCCUUGUACACACCGCCCGUCAUACCACGAAAGUCUGCUGUACUCGAAGUCGCUGAG